ACUUCUUUUGCCCAUGGCUCCCCAUUGCAGCCUGCAUCAAACAUAAACAAGUAUGACUGAAGGAGGAUGCUAAGGAAGACUGUGGAUGAAGGCCCGGGGAAGGGACAAGUAGACUGAACCACAUUUCAGGCUUCUGAUCUCCUAAGGGAAAGAGAAAACACACCUGGCUACAGUCACAUCUAUUUGGAGUUACAUCUCAAAGAAUUUCUAAGGAAAUCUAACACAAAGACUUUGGGGUAAUUAAGAAUUUCCCAAAGACAAAAGAUCAGAUUCCCUGACUCCCACUCCAGGAGAUUCUGAGUACAGUUGAAAUGCAUCUGGGAGUCCAAUGCCAAGGAUCUCAAGAUGGUGCAAUGAGAAAUCCAGCACUCAUCAGUCCCCAGACCUGGUCCUCAAUGGCUUUCAUCACGCUCAACACCACCACCUCCAGUAUCACCAUCACAAGCACCAUCACUGCCACCAGAAGAAGGGCAACCCUCUGAGAAAUAUUUGUUGCUGCCAAAGUCAACUCUCAACAAUAUCAACACGUGGCUCACUCAGAAACCUGUACAAUGUGUGGUUCUUGAGCACUUGGGAUUUGGUAUU